AUUGAACGCUGGCGGCAGGCCUAACACAUGCAAGUCGAGCGGAUGAAGGGAGCUUGCUCCUGGAUUCAGCGGCGGACGGGUGAGUAAUGCCUAGGAAUCUGCCUGGUAGUGGGGGAUAACGUCCGGAAACGGGCGCUAAUACCGCACACGUCCUGAGGGAGAAAGUGGGGGAUCUUCGGACCUCACGCUAUCAGAUGAGCCUAGGUCGGAUUAGCUAGUUGGUGGGGUAAAGGCCUACCAAGGCGACGAUCCGUAACUGGUCUGAGAGGAUGAUCAGUCACACUGGAACUGAGACACGGUCCAGACUCCUACGGGAGGCAGCAGUGGGGAAUAUUGGACAAUGGGCGAAAGCCUGAUCCAGCCAUGCCGCGUGUGUGAAGAAGGUCUUCGGAUUGUAAAGCACUUUAAGUUGGGAGGAAGGGCAGUAAGUUAAUACCUUGCUGUUUUGACAUUACCAACAGAAUAAGCACCGGCUAACUUCGUG
rnacentral:rRNA from 1 species